rnacentral:lncRNA from 1 species
AUGUCCCCGUCCAUGUUCUCCACGAGGAGCUUCUGGUCUCCUCCUCCGAGGAAAGUGACCCCCAUGGCAGCGAAGACGCAGCCCCCAGACUAUCAUGUCUUGGACAUGACUACCGGAGUAAAAGAAAAAAUAACACAGCAGAGUUUGUCUCAUCAAUUCACACUCCCCCAGCCACACCUGCAGCAUAUAGAAACUCCUGGGUCACCACGAAGACCUUCCUUGUGCCAUUCCUUUACAGUCAUACCCACCCUGUUCCUCUCCAGCACCCCUAUCUGCAGACAACCACUGAAUGUUUUCUAUCUCCAUCAUUUUGUCAUUUCAUAAAUGUUAUGGAAAUAGAAUCACACAGAACAGGAUUUUAUUUUUUGUCUUUUUGCCUUUUCUAGGGCCAUUCCCAAGGCAUAUGGAGGUUCCCAAGCUAGGGGUCUAAUUGGAGCUGUAGCCACCAGCCUAUGCCAGAGUCACAGCAACACGGGAUCCGAGCCACGUCUGCAACCUACACCACAGCUCACGGCAACGCCGGAUCCUUAACCCACGGAGCAAGGCCAGGGAUCAAACCCGCAACCUCGUGGUUCCUAGUUGGAUUCGUUAACCACUGAGUCACGACGGGAUCUCCAGAACAUGAUCUUUGAGAUCGGCUUUUUUCGCUCAGAGUCAUAACCUCAAGAUCCAUUCAAGUUGCUGCACAUACCAAAGUUUUUUUUUCAGUGCUGCAAACUACUACAUGGUAUGUAUUUAACCUACAUAUAUCAUUAUAUUUGAACUGUCUCAAGCUUUGUAGAUAACAUAUAGUCAGGUCACGUUUUUUAUAGACUGAAUCUCUAUUAAUCGGUAUACUUAGACAAGUUGUUUUUAAUAUAACACUGAUAUGUUAAGGCUAAGUCCAUUUUAUUUUUUUUAUUUUCUGCUGUUACAUUUUUCAUUUCUCUAUUUUUCCUGCCAUGCCUUUUUCACAGAAUUCCAUUUUGAUGCGUAUUUUUGUAUACUCCUUUUGGUGGUGGCUCUAGGUAGUAUAUAGUUUAGUGUGGAAGAUUUGAUCAUUGAAUUUUCACCUUUCUUCUUUUCUAAGUAUUGAAAGUUAUAAAUUUCUCUACAUUCUGUUUUCACUGUUUCCCACAAUUUUUUAUACAUAUUGAGCUUUCCUAUUUAUUCAGUUCAAACUUUUGCCAUUGGUCAUGUAAUUUCCAACUAUUUGUGAAUUGAUUACAUAGUUUAGUUGGUUUUCAAUUAAUUCUUUCGUGGUCAGAGAACAUACUUCGUAUGAUCUUAAUCUUGAGUUUUAUUGAAACUUGUUUUAGAGCCCAGCAUGCAUUCUAUCUUGAUA